rnacentral:tRNA from 1 species
GGAGGGUUGGCAGAGCGGACAAUUGCACUAGUCUUGAAAACUAGAGGGAGUAAUCCCUGCACAGGUUCGAAUCCUGUACCCUCCGCUA